UUCUGUAGCUAAGCAAUCUAUCCGUUGGUUAUUGACUUGUUUGUUGCAGCUAAAUCUAGCUAGUGAGGUUGAUAAGUGAGAAAUGCAGCUUCUUAAGGUUCUUGAUACCAAUAGAGAUGAUAUUGAGUGAAGACCAAGUUUUUUAAAAAGGUGUUCUCCCGGGGAAAGUUGCAGUUGUUCAGCGACACAAUAGAUAAAAGUAACUCAACAGAAAGACAGAUUCUCAAGAUGAGAGACCCAAACAAUACUAUAAAAGAGAAGACACUUAUUAUUGAUCAUUUUUUCAGCGGAGAAGAAAAGCAGGAAAAGAUUCUCAUGAACCAGUCACGUUUAUAUGAAGUGAGAAUGUGGCCGAUGGCAAGUCCACAAAACAAACCAGGUACAUAGCCUAUUGCAGCUGCUACCCAGCUUAAUCCUUUAUCUUUCUCUUCCUUUUCUUUAUCUUCUUCUUCUUCUCCACCGCAUUUUUUUUGGAGAGGAGCACCGCAAAGCCCGGGAUUCUCUGCGAAAGAAGAACUGUUCUGGCUUUGAAUCUGAGUGCCUUGUGGUAUUGGACCUUCAAGCAUGUUGUAAGAGAAGUUCAUCCGCGCUAGAAAUGUGAGUUCCCCGAGCUCUCCUGGGAUACUGCCGGAUAAUCUGUUUUGAGAUAGAUCCAAUGAUUGGAGAUUGCUCAAGUUUGAUAGAGAUGGUGGAAUAUGGCCUGUGAAUGCGUUGUUUGACAUGUUGAGCACAAUCAGUUCCUUGAGUAUACCGAUGGAUUCUGGAAUAUCUCCUUCAAGUCUGUUUCCGGAGACAUCGAUGGUCUUGUAGAUUUCGAAACCACUCCCUACCAGUUCCAUAUUCAAUCCUUUGAUCGUCAGAACCACAGAUUUAUGAAAGGAUUCUUGGUCAUCUCCUACAACCGUAAAUCCAGGCGUAUUAUCAAUAAUGUCUACAAACGAUGACAUUACACUCCAACCAACAAAGUAAUCUGAUGGCAAGACUCCACUGAAGCGAUUUUCUGAAAUGUCAAAAAAUCGUAGUUUGGAGAAACUUAAAGAAUCUCCAGGAGAAAAUAUUGGCCCAUGGAACUCGUUAGAACGAAGGACAAGCAGCUGUAGAUUGGGCAAUGAUUUCAACCAGGAUGGAAAUGUGUCAUUGAUUCGGUUCUCUUCCACGUUCAGAAACUGGAGAUAACUGCAGUUGAUCAGUGACUUGGGAAAUUGUCCUGAUAACCGGUUGCUACCAACAUCUAGUGAUCUCAAGUAACCAUGCAGAGAUUCCUCUGGAAUAACACCAGAGAGACUGUUAUUUCGAAGAUGCAAGAUCGAAAGAGUUUUAUUGGAAAUCUCAAAACACGGGGGAAUAGAACCGCUGAAGUUGUUGUUGGACAAAACAAGUGUCCCAAUUUCGCAUACUGCUCUAGGAAUCUCUCCUGAAAACUUAUUAUCAGAGGCUAUAAAGCUAUAGAUAGGAUUUGGUAACAUAGUUAGUUCUCCACUGAAGGCAUUCUGAGCAAUGUUUACAUACCUCAACGUUGGUAGUCUCCAUAACCAUUCUGGUACUUGGCCUUCAAUUUGAUUGGCAGAGAUGUCUAAAUGAUACAAACUGGUUUGGUUUUCCAGAAACUUAGGAAACUGAGAAAUAUUGCAGGAUGAUAAAAUCAAGUGCAUCAUAUGUGAGGGAAGAUGGUGCGAUGAACUGAUAUUCAAAUUAAUCCCUGAAAGAUCAAGUGACCUAAGAGACUUGAGCUGCAAGAAGAUGCUGAAAUCAACAAUGCCUCCUGUGUCCCAGAAAGAGAGGCUAAGAGCCGAAAGCCCGACUAGUUUCAAUAUAGAUCUUGGAAUUGGCCCAUUGAUAUUGUUUUCUCCAAUGUAUAAUUCUUGAAGGUUAGAUGGUGAAGAGAUAUUCCCAAUCUUAAGUGGACCGCUGAAGUCGUUUGUUCCCAGGUCAAGUUUAAUCAACGAAGGGAGCAUGAAGAGAGAAGAGGGGAUGGUUCCAGAAAAUGAAUUUCCACUAAUAUCAAAAGCCUCCAGUUUGGAAAGGCUACUCAUGUUAGAUGGGAGCAUAGCUUUGAACUGGUUAGAACUAAGGUCGACAUUGGUGAGUGAGCUCAAGUUGAGUAGCAUAAGUUGAAAAUCUGUUAGUCGGUUUAGGCUGCUCAUCGAAUCUGGUCCUUCACUGGUGAACUCAUUUUUAGAAAUAUCAAGAUCAGUGAGAUUAGAAAGACUUCCGAGUGAAGUAGGAAUCUUUCCAAAGAAAUUGCAACGAUGAAGAUUCAAAACCCUCAAAGAUUUGAGAUUGCCCAUCGAAUCUGGUAACUCACCGGUGAAAUAAUUCCAAGAAAGAUCAAGAUCAGUGAGAUAAGUAAGAUUUCCGAGUGAAGAAGGAAUCUUUCCGGUGAAUUUGCAACUAGUAAGACUCAAAACCCUCAAAUGUUUGAGAUUGCCCAUCGAAUCCAGUAUCUCACCGGUGAGAUCAUCAUUAUAAGAAAGAUCAAGAUCAGUGAGGUAAGAAAGACUUCUAAGUGAUGUAGGAAUCUCUCCAAAGAGAUUGCAACCAAGGAGGUUCAAAACUCUCAAAUAUUUGAAGUUGCCGCUGGAAUCUGGUAGGGUACACGAAAGAUCAUUGUAGGAAAGAUCUAGGCUCUGAAGAUGUUGUAGUCUAAACAGGCUGCUAUUAGAUCUCAGACGGCCAUUGAGAUCACUGUUUCCGAGGUCUAACUCAACCACCACUCCCGUCUUAGGAUCACAAGAGAUACCACCCCAAGAACAGCAAUCAGUGUUGUUCCUCCACUUCGCUGUCGUCUGAAGAAUCAGCAUCAAAUCAGAAUCGGGGCUUGGGAUAGAGAACUCGUUCUUGAACUCCAAAAGAGCAUCCCUCUGGUCUGGAAGACACAAGUCUUUAGCAAUAACAAGUAUUGAGUUUGAAAGGCAGAAGAUUAAACACAAGCUCCAUAUUAUUGUUAUCAUCUUGCUGUAGAAUGUUUUUUCUGUGAUUGGUUUUUAUUUAUUUUCUGUGAAACGAAUUGAUCAUUGGAUUGUCUCCAUAUUUUCGAAAUAAAUUAAAGCUUGACUUGAAAAUUCUUCUGUAAAGACUAAUCGCUUCCACAGAAAAUCGAAUAUUCCUUUGACUAUUCAUCGCAGUUCUCUUGCCGUGUGGUGGAGGUUAAUCUUUGAGGCUUUUGUUGCAUGUGUUCCCUCGUUCUAGAGAUUGAAAUGCCGUGUGAGAAUGAAACUGGAACCU